ACUCAAAUGAAUAGACGGGGGCUCACACAAGCGGUGGAGCAUGUUGCUUAAUUCGAGGCAACGCGAAGAACCUUACCUGGGCUUGACAUGCAUGGAUUAACCCUCUGAAAGGGGGGCCACGCCCGCAAGGGUGGAACAUGCACAGGUGCUGCAUGGCUGUCGUCAGCUCGUGCUGUGAAGUGUCGGGUUAAGUCCCUUAACGAGCGCAACCCCUGUCGUUAGUUGCUCGGCGCAAGCCAGUACUCUAGCGAGACUGCCGGUGUCAAACCGGAGGAAGGUGGGGAUGACGUCAAGUCCUCAUGGCCCUUACGUCCAGGGUUGCAAACGUGCUACAAUGGUGCAUACAGAGCGACGCGAGGCCGCGAGGCGGAGCAAAUCGCAAAAAAUGCACCCCAGUUCGGAUUGCAGGCUGCAACUCGCCUGCAUGAAGUCGGAAUCGCUAGUAAUCGGAGAUCAGCUACGCUCCGGUGAAUAAGUUCCUGAGCCUUGUACACACCGCCCGU
rnacentral:rRNA from 1 species